rnacentral:rRNA from 1 species
CAGCCGCCACGGUAAUACGUAGGUGGCGAGCGUUAUCCGGAAUUAUUGGGCGUAAAGGGUGCGUAGGCGGCCUGUUAAGUAAGUGGUUAAAUUGUUGGGCUCAACCCAAUCCAGCCACUUAAACUGGCAGGCUAGAGUAUUGGAGAGGCAAGUGGAAUUCCAUGUGUAGCGGUAAAAUGCGUAGAUAUAUGGAGGAACACCAGUGGCGAAGGCGGCUUGCUAGCCAAAGACUGACGCUCAUGCACGAAAGCGUGGGGAGCAAAUAGGAUUAGAUACCCGAGUAGUCCCUGUCUCUUAUACA